GCCCCUCCACUUUCCCCUCCUUUUCUUCACUCCCACGAAAGGAAACGAGAUGGAGAAACCCCUCUGGCACCGCCGUCCUCACCAUGGCACCGCCGCUCCACACCUCCCCUCGCCGUUCUGAGGGCACCGUUAGAUGCGCCACGAAGUCCUCAUUCUCCUCCUCCAAGGAAUCGAGCCGAGAGAGCUCCAAUCGACGCCAAAUUCGCUGAUUCUUCUUCAACUCCGGCGACCAAAUUCGACGAUUCCGAUCGGCCUAGUCCUUCCCCGGCGACCUCAACCUCACCAGCACGUUCCUGGUACCGGUCGUCGUCAUCACUCCGGUGGCUCCCGUCUUUCCCCACCACCAGAUCCUGGUCGCCCACGCCGAGGCGCACCCCCGACGCCUAUCGCCUUGACCCGGUUCGCCUCGAAUCGCCAUGCCCAUGGUCGACCAGAACCCUCCGCCCGCCAUGGCUGCUCUGUCCAAGGUCUCCGCUUCGCCUGGUUCAAAUGCUACUGUGGCCCAUCAUGGUCAACAUCCACGCAGCAGCUUAUUUGAUCCGUACAUGGGCCUUGGCCCAGGUUCUUCUCCCGGCGCUAGCCUACCAUCCGACACCCGCAGCAGGCCAGAUCCGGCCCAGAAAUAUCGCAUGCUCAGCCCACAAUUGCUUCUUCUCGGAUAGGAUCUCGAAGUGGUGAUGUGAGAUACGACAAGUUCUCCGGAUGUUCCUCGGCAAGCUUUAACAGGCAAGCAUUUUCCCCUAUACUUCUGCCCCUGCAGAAGUCGCUCACCUAUUUUAUUUUUCCUUCUCCCUCAUGCUAUCCUUAAGUUGCGUUCUUGUCACGUGUCCCCUCCACUUGUUACCUCAAGCAGCCCAUAUUGCCACCACCAACCACCAACCUCCUACAGCUGUUGUUUGGUUAUCGGGUCUGCCUUGCGAGUCGUAGUGCAUGCUAGUGCUGUUUAUAUCUCGUUACCGUUAUCGCUAUCUUAUCGGAUUAUCUGUUGGGGAAUCAUGACACAUGGUUUAUGGAUAUAUUUGUUGGAGAUUCACAUGCUUUACUUAUUGUUAACAACUAAAAUGAUAAGCAGAUGCAUCUGUGAGCCCCUUUGCGAAAGCAUCGGAACUUUGACUCACUAAUGUCCCCUAGGACCCGAGUUCUUGUUAUCUGUUCCGAGACUGAGUGCUCUAAACACACGUGGGUAUGUUUUUGGGUCUCCCCUCGACCACUGCCGGAAUCUACAGCUUUGUCCAGUGGCCACAACUAGUUUGCAAUGUUUUACCAUUUGUUGUUGCGUGCAUGCCAGCUUGUUACUUAUUUAUUUUGGGAAGCCCAUGGGUGCCUUGUAUCCCUUGUUUCUGGUAUGCACGUAUAGGUGUGGCACGAGCGUUUAUCGCGUGGUGAAGCGGGUCAUUCGCCCCAGUGUGUGUUUUGACCCUCGGAAGUCGUGGUCGCAAACAGCUAGGUCCGUCUCGGAGAUUCGGUCGGACUUCGAUUCGGGUUCAACUUAGUUAGGUGGCUUCCUGGACAUUGUUGUCGUGAAGGAGAGUGCGAGUCGUGAUAUCCUUCCCUUGCUAGGUUGGGUUGAUCGUGCGUGUGGGUACAUUUGGGCAACCCCUGCAGGGUGUACAUCUUAUCGAUAAGCCGCAUCCGCGGUUAUGGACGACUUGGAGCUGUCUGAUUCGACCAUAGACAACUUACACCUGUUGUUUCAAUACUAAUAACUUGCAUAGUAAGAUAGAACAACUUAAAUAAUAACUGGUUAAAACUUGUCAACCGUGUGAGUGCCCUUGUAAGUACUUCCUUGCGAGGGGGGAACACAUCGGCUGUGUUAUGUUUGCAGAGUAUGGAACUGAUAGUUACGCGCUCUCUUAUCUUCUCUGAUUAGAUGACUGUUCUAGAGUGUCUCUAUAGGUUUUUAGUGCUUGCGCGCUGCCGCUUAACCCCACCAUAUUGCCUAUGACGUUCCUCUUGCGUCCUCUAAGUCCCCUGCAUGCCUCAAGUACAAAGGACGACUGGUUGACGAAUGCUUAUACGUCUUGAAGUCUUGUUAAGUAUGAACCCGUACUUAUUGCUGCUUCUACGGGAUAUAACCGGGCAGGUAUGAAGAUAUGUUCGAUGAAGACGACGCUAGCAAGGUUACCCUUCCGGCUUGGCCUAGGCAGGGUUAUGGACGCCGCUGGUUAUCUUCAGGACUCUUAGUCCAAUUUGUAUCUUGUCCGUACUCGGACGCAUUCGAUCUUCUGUAUGAUUUGGAUCUUUGUAUUGUAUAUUUCUAUCUUGACUCGUUGGAGUCGUUGUUGUAAUAUAUGUAUCUUGUGGGCUCUAUUGUAAUCCUGUUGUAAUGAUUAUUACU